rnacentral:rRNA from 1 species
GACGUAGGAGGCGAACGUUAUCCGGAUUCACUGGGCGUAAAGCGCAUGUAGGCGGUUCGAUAAGUCCGCUGUUAAAGCCCCCGGCUCAACUGGGGGAGGUCAGUGGAGACUAUAGGACUUGAGGGCAACAGAGGCACGUGGAACUCCCGGUGUAGCGGUGGAAUGCGUAGAGAUCGGGAAGAACACCAGUGGCGAAGGCGACGUGCUGGGUUGCGACUGACGCUGAGAUGCGAAAGUGUGGGGAGCAAACGGG